GAAAUUCAAUUGUUUCUUGGUAGAUAUCUUUGGUGCACAACUAAUGAAUGAAGUGUAAUAUUUUGGAGGGACGCCCAUGAUCAACAAAUUAUGAAUCAGUUUGUUUUAAAACUUUUGCUUAUGUAUUUUGUCUUGCAAUAUACUCGUACUUUUGGGAUAUUGAUAUUUUAGCUUUAUGUAGCGAACAUAUUAAAAAUAUUUGAAUUUAUGUUAAGGUAUAAUUUUUAA